rnacentral:rRNA from 1 species
GAGCCCAGAGCCUGAAUCAGCAUGUGUGUUAGUGGAAGCGUCUGGAAAGGCGCGCGAUACAGGGUGACAGCCCCGUACACAAAAGCGCAUGUGCUGUGAGCUCGAUGAGUAGGGCGGGACACGUGGUAUCCUGUCUGAAUAUGGGGGGACCAUCCUCCAAGGCUAAAUACUCCUGACUGACCGAUAGUGAACCAGUACCGUGAGGGAAAGGCGAAAAGAACCCCGGCGAGGGGAGUGAAAAAGAACCUGAAACCGUGUACGUACAAGCAGUGGGAGCACAGGUUUACCUGUGUGACUGCGUACCUUUUGUAUAAUGGGUCAGCGACUUAUAUUCUGUAGCAAGGUUAACCGAAUAGGGGAGCCGGAGGGAAACCGAGUCUUAAUUGGGCGUUAAGUUGCAGGGUAUAGACCCGAAACCCGGUGAUCUAGCCAUGGGCAGGUUGAAGGUUGGGUAACACUAACUGGAGGACCGAACCGACUAAUGUUGAAAAAUUAGCGGAUGACCUGUGGCUGGGGGUGAAAGGCCAAUCAAACCGGGAGAUAGCUGGUUCUCCCCGAAAGCUAUUUAGGUAGCGCCUCGUGAAUUCAUCUCCGGGGGUAGAGCACUGUUUCGGCUAGGGGGCCAUCCCGGCUUACCAACCCGAUGCAAACUGCGAAUACCGGAGAAUGUUAUCACGGGAGACACACGGCGGGUGCUAACGUCCGUCGUGAAGAGGGAAACAACCCAGACCGCCAGCUAAGGUCCCAAAGUCAUGGUUAAGUGGGAAACGAUGUGGGAAGGCCCAGACAGCCAGGAUGUUGGCUUAGAAGCAGCCAUCAUUUAAAGAAAGCGUAAUAGCUCACUGGUCGAGUCGGCCUGCGCGGAAGAUGUAACGGGGCUAAACCAUGCACCGAAGCUGCGGCAGCGACACUGUGUGUUGUUGGGUAGGGGAGCGUUCUGUAAGCCUGUGAAGGUGUGUCGUGAGGCAUGCUGGAGGUAUCAGAAGUGCGAAUGCUGACAUAAGUAACGAUAAAGCGGGUGAAAAGCCCGCUCGCCGGAAGACCAAGGGUUCCUGUCCAACGUUAAUCGGGGCAGGGUGAGUCGACCCCUAAGGCGAGGCCGAAAGGCGUAGUCGAUGGGAAACGGGUUAAUAUUCCCGUACUUGGUGUUACUGCGAAGGGGGGACGGAGAAGGCUAUGUUGGCCGGGCGACGGUUGUCCCGGUUUAAGCGUGUAGGUGUGUGUUCCAGGUAAAUCCGGUUCACUUUAACACUGAGGCGUGACGACGAGGCACUACGGUGCUGAAGCAACAAAUGCCCUGCUUCCAGGAAAAGCCUCUAAGCAUCAGGUAACAUCAAAUCGUACCCCAAACCGACACAGGUGGUCAGGUAGAGAAUACCAAGGCGCUUGAGAGAACUCGGGUGAAGGAACUAGGCAAAAUGGUGCCGUAACUUCGGGAGAAGGCACGCUGACACGUAGGUGAAGUGAUUUACUCAUGGAGCUGAAGUCAGUCGAAGAUACCAGCUGGCUGCAACUGUUUAUUAAAAACACAGCACUGUGCAAACACGAAAGUGGACGUAUACGGUGUGACGCCUGCCCGGUGCCGGAAGGUUAAUUGAUGGGGUCAGCGCAAGCGAAGCUCCUGAUCGAAGCCCCGGUAAACGGCGGCCGUAACUAUAACGGUCCUAAGGUAGCGAAAUUCCUUGUCGGGUAAGUUCCGACCUGCACGAAUGGCGUAAUGAUGGCCAGGCUGUCUCCACCCGAGACUCAGUGAAAUUGAACUCGCUGUGAAGAUGCAGUGUACCCGCGGCAAGACGGAAAGACCCCGUGAACCUUUACUAUAGCUUGACACUGAACAUUGAGCCUUGAUGUGUAGGAUAGGUGGGAGGCUUUGAAGUGUGGACGCCAGUCUGCAUGGAGCCGACCUUGAAAUACCACCCUUUAAUGUUUGAUGUUCUAACGUGGACCCGUUACCCGGGUUGCGGACAGUGUCUGGUGGGUAGUUUGACUGGGGCGGUCUCCUCCUAAAGAGUAACGGAGGAGCACGAAGGUUGGCUAAUCCUGGUCGGACAUCAGGAGGUUAGUGCAAUGGCAUAAGCCAGCUUGACUGCGAGCGUGACGGCGCGAGCAGGUGCGAAAGCAGGUCAUAGUGAUCCGGUGGUUCUGAAUGGAAGGGCCAUCGCUCAACGGAUAAAAGGUACUCCGGGGAUAACAGGCUGAUACCGCCCAAGAGUUCAUAUCGACGGCGGUGUUUGGCACCUCGAUGUCGGCUCAUCACAUCCUGGGGCUGAAGUAGGUCCCAAGGGUAUGGCUGUUCGCCAUUUAAAGUGGUACGCGAGCUGGGUUUAGAACGUCGUGAGACAGUUCGGUCCCUAUCUGCCGUGGGCGCUGGAGAACUGAGGGGGGCUGCUCCUAGUACGAGAGGACCGGAGUGGACGCAUCACUGGUGUUCGGGUUGUCAUGCCAAUGGCACUGCCCGGUAGCUAAAUGCGGAAGAGAUAAGUGCUGAAAGCAUCUAAGCACGAAACUUGCCCCGAGAUGAGUUCUCCCUGAGACUUAGAGUCUCCUGAAGGAACGUUGAAGACGACGACGUUGAUAGGCCGGGUGUGUAAGCGCAGCGAUGCGUUGAGCUAACCGGUACUAAUGAACCGUGAGGCUUAACCUUACAACGCCGAAG